CGCCUCCUGAUUAACAUGAGAGGAUCCAGCCUGCCCAGUGAUAAUCUUUAACGGCCGCGGUAUACUAAACCGUGCGAAGGUAGCAUAAUUACUUGUUCUUUAAAUGGGGACUCGUAUCAACGGCAUCACGAGGGUUAUACUGUCUCCUCUCUCCAAUCAGUGAAACUGAUCUCCCCCCGUGAAGAAGCAGGGAUUUAAUUAUAAGACGAGAAGACCCCAUGGAGCUUUAAACCCAACACACACCUCUGCACUCAAACACCAACACAACCAAAGGGGCCUGUGCGUCGGUUUUAGGCUGGGGGGGCCACGGAGUAAAACUAAACCUCCACAACAAAUGGGCUAACACCCUAAUCUACGAUUUAUAAAUCUAAGAAUCACCAAAAUGAUGUUUAAUGACCCGAUAAUUCGAUCAAUGAACCAAGUUACCCUGGGGAUAACAGCGCAAUCCACUUCAAGAGCCUUAUCGACAAGUGGGUUUACGACCUCGAUGUUGGAUCAGGGUAUCCUAGUGGUGCAACCGCUACUAAUGGUUCGCUUGUUCAGCGAUUAAAACCCU
rnacentral:rRNA from 1 species